rnacentral:tRNA from 1 species
CAAAAUGUAGCUCAAACACAAAGCAUCUGGCCUACGCCCAGAAGAUUUCGUAUCCGAACAUUUUGA